AAGACUAUACUUUCAGGAAUCAUUUCUAUAGUUCGUUACUUGAGAAAUGUGUGUCUAAAGUGGUAGGUCUCGCUAUCCAUGAUGACGAUUCAAGAUAUUCCCGUUCAGAGCAUGAAUCUGGUGGCUAGAUAUG
rnacentral:snoRNA from 8 species